UACGAAGGGGGCUAGCGUUGCUCGGAAUCACUGGGCGUAAAGCGCACGUAGGCGGAUCGUUAAGUCAGGGGUGAAAUCCUGGAGCUCAACUCCAGAACUGCCUUUGAUACUGAAGAUCUUGAGUUCGGGAGAGGUGAGUGGAACUGCGAGUGUAGAGGUGAAAAUUCGUAGAUAUUCGCAAGAACACCAGUGGCGAAGGCGGCUCACUGGCCCGAUACUGACGCUGAGGCACGAAAGCGUGGGGAGCAAACAGG
rnacentral:rRNA from 1 species